rnacentral:rRNA from 1 species
GACGAACCGUGCGAACGUUAUUCGGAAUCAUUGGGCCUAAAGGGCGCGUAGGCGGGUGACCGCGUCGAUGGCUGAAAGCCCCCGGCUUAACCGGGGAACGGGCCUCGAUACGGGUCGCCUCGAGGCGAGGAGGGGGACCUGGAACGUCCGGUGGAGCGGUGAAAUGCGUUGAGAUCGGACGGAACACCGACGGCGAAAGCAAGGUCCUGGACUCGUAACUGACGCUGAGGCGCGAAAGCCAGGGGAGCGAACGGG